CUCCCCGCCCCCAUCCGAGCUCCGCCCAGUGCCCAUCUUCGCACCGUUCCUACCGCAGCAUGCGCAUCCCACUUCUCCGCCCCCAGAUCUGUGGCAAGCUCCAUCAAAUCAACUUCGAUCUAUGCCAUCCGACUGCUCCGCCCUUCUGCAUGGCCUCCCCUGGAUGGCUUGUCACCCAUCGCCUGCUCCAACUCCAGUGUCGUCCCUCUCCGCGGGUGACGUCUCCUCCAAACCGCAAGUCUGCAAGUCGACCAUGCAUCUUGGAGGCUGUGGCGCUGCUGGUGCUGCUGCUCCUGUGAUGGGCCUAGUGGAGCCUACAGUUCCUUGAUUUCAAGGAGGAAAGGGAAACAUGAUUGGUUCUUGGAGAGAAAGUAGCCUCCAUGCUUCUUAAAUUUGGCUACUGGUUUGUACAGAGGCUUUCAUCUAUGGAGAAGCACAUUGAUGGAGAAAGAAAACAUACUCAAAGGCAAUCUUUUUCAGGUACAUACUCUAUUGAUUGAAUAAUACGGGCAAGGUUGUUGCAAAGAUUUUUCCAUACGUAUGGUUCACAUUCCAUGGUUUAAUUUGCAGAUUGAUAUUUCAUUCAUUUUGAUUUCUACACAUAUUCACAUUUCCAUAUAUUGACAUGACUAGAUGAUUGAGAUGACCGCGUCAUCAACUGCCCAAUAGCUGAAAUGGAACUUCUAGGCACCUCUUUCAAAUCUCAUCGCACCUAUUUCAGUUCUCAUUUCCUAGUUGCAGCUAAUCUAGAUCAGGAUUAAGGUUUAAGGUUCAUGAUCCAUCUAUAAGAGAGGUGUAAUACCCUCUGCUCUUAUCAGUUUAUACUAUUAUUUCCACACCUGUGUCCAAAUAUAUCCAGUGAUUAAUUUUGAUACAAGUUUUUGAUAUUACGAGAUCAUGCUAUCUCCAGUAUGCUCAAGAACAUCUUGAUACUUACCUAGACAUUUUUAUUUCAACGUAUUGAACAUUAAAAGCCUUUUACCAAUAGCAAUGCACAAGAAAUGUAGGUUCGGUUAUAAUAAUUAACAAGAUAAAGAUAUGUCAAGGGGCUUCUGUCAUGGGCCAUACUGUAUAUCAUCUUAAUUCAAUUAAACUUUUUACUACUAGCUUGCUUCUUGGAACUUCCCAUUUUCUUAUUAUAUGUUCGAGCGUAUGGUACUGGUGACAAGCCUUCCCUGACCCUCACUAGUUAUCUUUAUGUGACUUAUAAUUGUAAGCAGUACACACCAGUCUAAAGUGCAGCACAAAUCCAUAUAAACGACUUUGAAAUACUGAAAUUUAGAGAUUUAAUUCCCUGUUAUGUUGAGUUGUUUGCAAAUUAGGUUGAGCUGUAUCCUGAUUCUCCAUGUUCUUUGUUGAUUGUUCAGCCAGAUGUAGAAAAAUAAAAUUUGUACUUGUA